rnacentral:tRNA from 1 species
GCCGGACUAGCUCAGUGGUAGAUCGGCUGUUUUGUAAGCAGCGCGUCAGGAGUUCGAUUCUCUUGCUCGGCA